AGAUGGAUUAGUGGCGCACGGGUGAGUNAUGCAUAGAUAACAUGCCCUUUAGUCUAGGAUAGCCAAAAGGAAACGGUGAUUAAUACUGGAUACUCCUUACGGGGGUAAGUUUUUCGCUAAAGGAUUGGUUUAUGUCCUAUCAGCUUGUUGGUGAGGUAAUGGCUCACCAAGGCUAUGACGGGUAUCCGGCCUGAGAGGGUGAACGGACACACUGGAACUGAGACACGGUCCAGACUCUUACGGGAGGCAGCAGUAGGGAAUAUUGUUCAAUGGGGGAAACCUUGAAGCAGCUACGCCGCUGUGGAGGUAUGGAAGGUUUUUCGGGGUUGUAAAAACUUCCUUUUGUUUUAGCGGGGAGC
rnacentral:rRNA from 1 species